rnacentral:rRNA from 1 species
AUUGAACGCUGGCGGCAGGCUUAACACAUGCAAGUCGAGCGGAGUGAUGGUGCUUGCACUAUCACUUAGCGGCGGACGGGUGAGUAAUGCUUAGGAAUCUGCCUAUUAGUGGGGGACAACAUCUCGAAAGGGAUGCUAAUACCGCAUACGUCCUACGGGAGAAAGCAGGGGAUCACUUGUGACCUUGCGCUAAUAGAUGAGCCUAAGUCGGAUUAGCUAGUUGGGGGGGUAAAGGCCUACCAAGGCGACGAUCUGUAGCGGGUCUGAGAGGAUGAUCCGCCACACUGGGACUGAGACACGGCCCAGACUCCUACGGGAGGCAGCAGUGGGGAAUAUUGGACAAUGGGGGGAACCCUGAUCCAGCCAGGCCGCGUGUGUGAAGAAGGCCUUAUGGUUGUAAAGCACUUUAAGCGAGGAGGAGGCUCUUUUGGUUAAUACCCAAGAUGAGUGGACGUUACUCGCAGAAUAAGCACCGGCUAACUCUGUGCCAGCAGCCGCCGUAA